CUUGCUUUCUUUGCUGGCGACCGGCGCACGGGUGAGUAACACGUAUCCAACCUGCCCUUUACUCGGGGAUAGCCUUUCGAAAGAAAGAUUAAUACCCGAUGGCAUAAUGAUUCCGCAUGGUUUCAUUAUUAAAGGAUUCCGGUAAAGGAUGGGGAUGCGUUCCAUUAGGUUGUUGGUGAGGUAACGGCCCACCAAGCCUUCGAUGGAUAGGGGUUCUGAGAGGAAGGUCCCCCACAUUGGAACUGAGACACGGUCCAAACUCCUACGGGAGGCAGCAUG
rnacentral:rRNA from 1 species